CGCCAGACUCCUACGGGAGGCAGCAGUGGGGAAUAUUGCACAAUGGGGGAAACCCUGAUGCAGCGACGCCGCGUGAGCGAUGAAGUAUUUCGGUAUGUAAAGCUCUAUCAGCAGGGAAGAAGAUGACGGUACCUGACUAAGAAGCCCCGGCUAACUACGUGCCAGCAGCCGCGGUAAUACGUAGGGGGCAAGCGUUAUCCGGAUUUACUGGGUGUAAAGGGAGCGUAGACGGCGAUGCAAGCCAGAUGUGAAAGCCCGGGGCUCAACCCCGGGACUGCAUUUGGAACUGUGUGGCUGGAGUGUCGGAGAGGCAGGCGGAAUUCCUAGUGUAGCGGUGAAAUGCGUAGAUAUUAGGAGGAACACCAGUGGCGAAGGCGGCCUGCUGGACGAUGACUGACGUUGAGGCUCGAAAGCGUGGGGAGCAAACAGGAUUAGAUACCCGCGUACAA
rnacentral:rRNA from 1 species